GGAUGAAGAACGCAGCGAAAUGCGAUACGUAAUGUGAAUUGCAGAAUUCAGUGAAUCAUCGAAUCUUUGAACGCAUAUUGCGCUCUCUGGUAUUCCGGAGAGCAUGCUUGUUUGAGUAUCAGUAAACACCUCAACUUCCAUAUCUUUUUUGAAAUGGGAGUUGGACUUGAGUGAUCCCAACGCUUUUCCUCACCGAAAAGUGGCGGGUUACUUGAAAUGCAGGUGCAGCUGGACUUUUCUCUGAGCUAUAAGCAUAUCUAUUUAGUCUGCCUAAAAAACAGAUUAUUACCUUUGCUGCAGCUAACAUAAAGGAGAUUAGUUCUUGUGCUGACUGAUGCAGGAUUCACAAAGACAGGCUUCGGCCGACUUUGUAAACUCGAUCUCAAAUCAAGUAAGACUACCCGCUGAACUUAAGCAUAUCAAUAAGCGGAGGA
rnacentral:misc_RNA from 1 species